AUUUCAGGUAUACAAGGCACGGGACAAAAGAGUCUGCUGUCGGUCUAUGGGUAUUGUCCCCUUAUGACCUUCCCCCUCCCCAAGCUGUUGUAGUUUCGCUUUUAGGGUGCGAUGCGCACGUUGCA